AUGCAGUUCCAGUCUGGCAACUGUGCCAAAACGUUGGCAAAAGUAGAUGGAUCGGGUUCAAAAGAUUUGUCAUUCGACCCAAGCGCAUUUGGUUUUCCACAAGAUGCUAAUCAGGAAUAUUUCAACCGGGCUUUACAGUACGGUUAUCCAGUUUCAACGCAAGGCUUUCAAGAUAAAGGAUCUUUACCAAGCGUUCCAGAUUUUGUUCUGAAUAAUGCUUCUGCUGCACUCCGGGAAUAUCAACAAUUUGACCACUUUUUCAGACCACUUCAGCCUCUAGCACCUGAUGGAAACCAGGUACAAAAUAGUGGCAUAAAUACCGCACAUCGCAGUAGACCUUCUAAUGCAUCCUCCUGCCUUGAUCAUGUAGAAGAAAUAACUUCUCAUGACACGGAUGGUUAUGACGACAGAGCUAUCUCAUUUGGGAGUAGCUGCAGCACAGGAAUUGUGUGUUAUCCAUAUAGCAGCCCUAUGCAAAGCGAUGACUGCAUUGGAGACACACAGGAUGGGACCUGGGCUGCUCUUAUGCAAAUGCAACAGGCUUUGGAAGCGGCUAAUGAAGAGUGCAGUGACUUGACUUUCAAUAACACAGAACUUUCAGGUGGGAAUACCAUGCAGCAUCAAGUUGUUUGGGACAAUGGCUGUUUAGCAAGUCCGUCUUUCACCUCAAACUUCUUACCCUUCCCUGGAGAGGCUGAAACCAUGGUCACAAAUACCAGCGCUAUGCAUAACUUACAUAACUCUGUUGACCUCCUGUAUGAUAAUGAUCAAGACAUAUCAUCUUUUGAGCUCAAAGUGGCUGAACAGAAAGAGGCGACCACAAGCCAUGUUUAUGAACAUCGAGAUGAAAUGCAUUCUGCUGAAUUGGGGCGAAAUCCUGGCCACGAUGAAUCUUUUGAUUUGCCAAUAACCCAGGACAUACAGUUCAGCUCAUUUGUUCAUGGUCCAGAUGGAUCUGUAGAUAGUGGAAUGAACCUUUAUGAUUGUGAAGAGCAAAUGGAAAUUGAUUCACUCCUAAAUUCAUUUGGAGCUUCAAGUGAUACCUUUGCACAGACAUAUGAAAUGUUACAAAAAGGUGAAAAUAUUGUUGACCUUGAAAAAAGGGCUAAAUUAGCGGAAAGCAUUUCUGCUACAUUCAUCACUAAUACUGUCCCAUAUAUUACACAAGCUGGGGCGACUGAGUCAACUGUCUCUGAUGGAUCUUCUUGGACUCAACAAUAUCAAUCUACUUCCCAGUCAUGUGGUUUAUCUUAUUCUUCAGCUUCUCAAUGGGAAACCAUGCCAGAGUUCGUGACAGGCGUGGAUGGUCAAAGGAGCCACCUAUACCGUGACGAAGCACUGGCAACCCAAGGUGUAUGGGCGGCACAUCCUGGUACGAUGGUACACUCUUCAACCGAUACUGGACAUUCAGAUGUACAGCUGCCCAUGGCACAGACUACUACUGUUCCGCUGCCUGCUCCGAGCUUGUCCAAGGGCCCCAACUCAUUAUUUAUUGGAACAGAGCUUAAGAAGGUUGACCUACAUGAUACAAGUAUGCAGAUGCCCUUGACACAGACUACUGUUCAGCUGCCUGCUCCGUGCUUGUCCAAGGACCCCAACUCAUCAUUUAUUGGAGCAGAGGUUCAGAAGGUUGACCAAAAUCAUUCAGAUAUGCAGCUUCCCUUGACACAGACUAGUCAUGUUCAGCUGCCUGCUAUGAACUUGUCCGAGUACCCGACCUCGUCAUUUGUUGGAGGAACAAAGCUUAAAAAAGUUGACAAACAUGAUCCACUGCCUGCUACGAGCUUGUCCGAGGAUCCAAAAUCAUCAUUUAUUGGAGGAGCAGAGCUUAAGGCAGUUGACAAACAUGAUUCAGACAUGCAGCUUCCCAGGAUACAGGCUAGUCAUGUUCCGCUGCCUGCUGUGAGCUUGUCUGAGGAACCGAACUCAUCCUUUAUUGGAGGCACAGAGCUUAAGGAAGUUGGCAAACAUGAUUCAGAUAUGCCGCUUCCCAUGACACAGGCUAGUCAUGUUCCGCUGCCCGCUGUGCACUUAUCUGAGGACACGAAAUCAUCAUUUAUCGCAGGACCAGAGCUUAAGGAAGUUGACAAACACGAUUCAGAUAUGCCGCUUCCCAUGACACAGGCUAGUCAUGUUCCGCUGCCUACCAUGAGCUUACCCGAGGACACGAAAUCGUCAUUUAUUGGAGGAACAGAGCUUAAGGAAGUUGACAAACAUGAUUCAGAUAUGCAGCAUCCCAUGACACCGGCUAGUCAUCUUCUGCUGCCUUCUGUGAGCAUGUCCAAGGAUCCAAAAUCAUCAUUUACUGGAGGUACAGAGCUUAAGGAAGUUGGCAAACAUGAUUCAGAUAUGCAGCUUCCCAGGACGCAGACUGUUCAUGUUCAUCUGCCUACGCCGAGCUUGUCCAAGGAGUCCGAGUCAUCAUUUGUUGGAGGAACAGAGCUUAAGGAAGUCGACAAACAUGAUUCAGAUAUGCAGCCUCCCAUGACACAGGCGAGUCAUGUUCCGCUGCCUGCUGUGAGCUUGUCUGAGGACCCAAACUCAUCCUUUAUUGGAGGUACAGAGCUUAAGGAAGUCGGCAAACAUGAUUCAGAUAUUCAGCUUCCCAUGACACAGACUGUUUGUGUUCAGCUGCCUGCUAUGAGCUUAUCCGAGGAUCCGAAAUCAUCAUUUAUCAAAGGAACAGAGCUUAAGGAAGUUGACAAACAUGAUUCAGAUAUACCACUUCCCGUGGCACAGGUUAGUCAUGUUCCACUGCCUACCAUGAGCUUACCUGAGGACACGAAAUCGUCAUUUAUUGGAGGAACAGAGCUUAAGGAAGUUGACAAACAUGAUUCAGAUAUGCAGCCUCCCAUAACACCGGCUAUUCAUGUUCUGCUGCCUGCUGUGAGCUUGUCCGAGGACCCGAAAUCAUCAUUUACUGGAGGUACAGAGCUUAAGGAAGUUGGCAAACAUGAUUCAGAUAUGCAGCUUCCCAUGACGCAGACAGUUCGUGUUCAGCUGCCUGCUCCGAGCUUGUCGAAGGACCCCGACUCGGCAUUUGUUGGAAGAACAGAGCUUAAGAAGGUUGGCCACAUUGGAUAUCCUCAGCAAAGUAUCCUGCUCUCAGCAAGCAAACCUUCACACCCAAUCGGUUUGCCAGUUAUCAAGUUUGAUGACGAGGUGGGUUCACGAUCAAAGAAGCGGAAAAGGUCAACAGAAGAUGUUUUAGCAUCGCAUGCACAAGCCAUGUUCGAGGGUGGGAGACUGCAAUGUAGAAGGACACCUGAGUUGGCUUGGGCUGAUGCCACAUUGACUGAGAAGGUUGACGGUGAAAAAGCAACGAUGGAAAAUAGCACCUUCGUUUCUCGAGCUCAGAGAAGGCUUACUUUAACGACCAGCUUGAUUCAGUGUCUCCUGCCUGCUCUGUCAGCGAGACUUCUUGCAGCAAAAGUUGCUGAUUGCGGUGAAGCCAUUGUGUACCACAUUUGUAAACUGAUGCUCAGUGAUAUGUCUGACCCAGUUCAAUCUUUUGUCAGCGACACCAACAACUUCAUGCAAAGCGAAAACAUGCCACCGAACGAGACAAGCACCUCCGGAAAGGAGGACUGUAAACUCUUAUCUGAAGUUCUGGAAACCUUCGAUGCGAGGCUUGGCGGGCUACAAAGCUCCUUGUCAAGAAGCGAGAUGAUGCCCAGCUUCCAAGACCACGCGUCGGCGCUACGCCAAAUCGAGCAGUGGUCCAUGACCCAUCAGCUCAUAAAGCUGAGCGAAUACAAGAGACUGCACGCCGGCUACGGCUCGGGUCCUAAAAGGCCUCUCUGCGUCGGAGCCAUCCGGAAGCAUGCCGGAGGAUCUUCCGCGCCGGUCUCGGAGCUGAAAAGGAUCCGGUGUCGCUUGCUCAAGUAG
rnacentral:rRNA from 1 species